ensembl:lncRNA
CUCUGCACAUGCACACUAAUGACAUGAAAGCACCAUUGAUUUUGGGGUUACAAACAAAUCUUGUGAAUAGGCAAAUUCACAAAUAUGGAAUACACAAAUAAUGAGGAUUGACUGUACAAGAUUAUACAUGGGCAUUAUUUUUACAACACAAAUUUAAUUUGGUUAUCCGGGAGCUAACCUAUGCUUAGUUAACCCCUGUCUGAGGAAAUCCUUGAUCCCACACUGUUCUCCUUUGAUUUGCAGAGAGAAAGCAUAGGAAGAUAGCAACAACUGGACUGGGUGCUUGCCUGGCAAAUCUGAAACCCUGCAUGAUAGCAAAGGACCUUCCACUAGUUCAGGGGUAAGAAACGACAGCCUAACCAAUGACUAUCCCAUGUGCCUCACUACCCUCAUGAAAGCCACACAGGCUUAAUCUACUUUUGCCUUCCCUCCAUCACUUGCAAGAAUUAGGGCAUGUGAAGCAUGUAAGGAUUUUAAUCUUGAGACAAGAUUCCCAUUACAGGAGAAUCAGGAACACAAGGAUAUUGCCAAAGCUAACCUUGCAUGUCUCCUGAGACAGGGACAUCAGUUAAACUAUCUGCGAAAGAGGAUGCAGGCCAGGAUUUAACCCAGGCGUUGUCACCAGUUUCAGGAGUUCAUUUUGAAGGUGCCUUGCCUAUCUUUGCUGAAGAAACAUGUUCAAUGACGAACCCAAAUGUUGAAGUAAGUAAUGAGUGCUUACAUUGACGGUUUGCUCUUCAGAAUGGAGACCUAUUCAGAAAAAUCUAUAUCAAAACUUUGAAGAGAAACAACUCAGAAUCUAUACUCUCUCCUACAGGCGAUCUUUCUUAUCUUAAUGUUCAAUUAUUCUAUGUGUCUUUGGAAGUAAUUUGUGAUCAGAUGCAGUGGUCAGUUUCACUUUACACAGCGCUUUUGGUCAGAAAUGAUUUAUAGUGGGUGGCUGCAUCUUGUACUUACAUAUCCAUCUUUCCUUUUCUAACCGAGCUGGAAUUUAUCUGCAAGAGUCUCUACUAGAGGGAUGUUAAAGGUAAUAACUGCUCUUAUGUGUUAUUUGGUAAUUUUUGUUUAAGGAAAAAUCCCCCUAUGCCUGGGAUAAUAUGCAGCUCCUCUGAUAAUUAUGAAAUAAAUAUCCCUUCAAGUUUCCAAACCCCAAUCUUGAUACAAUUCCUCUUAAUUUGGGCUAAGCUUCUCUGUGUUCUCCAUGUUCCCAGAUAUAGUUAGUGGCUGUGGUGAAAGGAUAGAUCAUUAUAUAAUUAUAAUCGCUUACAUUCAUUUUGUGUUUGUUUUGUAGAGUAUUGCAGAAGGUUUUUUUAUAAACAUUUUCUUUAAUUUCCACAACCAUCAUGAAAGAAAGGUAUGAACAUUCCUCAUUAUAAAAAUGAAACUGGUUCAAGAGGAGCCCCAGUUACAUGGAUAAGGAAGAGCAAAGCUGAAUUUCAAGCCACGUCUCUCUGGCUCCAUGGCAGAGCCAUCUGCUAUGCCAUGUUGUUUCUCUGCUCUUUUCCAAGAUGGUGACGCAACUCUUCCCAAUUCUGCAUUAUCCUCUGACCAUGACUUGCCCUGGCUGCCAGAUUACAGCCCCAGGGCUAUAUCUGCAAUAACCGCAUUCUUUGGAUACUUCAGUCCAUUUGGCUGAGCUCUCCCUGGCCAGCCAUUGCUACUGGGCCCCUUGCUACAAGUUUUUGCUUAGUUUUUCUUUACACCUCACUUUGAUGGCCCCCAAGUUGCCCUCCCAUCCCAGCAUGUCUUGCUUUUGAAUUUAUUUACAUUGGGAAAGAGCCAAGAGUUGAACCAGCCUGAGAGCUGAAUUUUGGAAAGAAACUGAAUUAAAUAUUUUAAAAUCAAAGAACAUAUUCUCAAUUUUCUAUCCACUUAAGGUACUGAAGGAUUUUUAAAUCUUUUAAGGAAAAAAAAGCUCAGGUCACAGCUUU